GAGAGAGUAAGAGCUGAAGAAGCAGAGACCGGAGAGCUGACAGACAAGUAGACCCUGCAUGUGAGAUCCCAGACUCCAGCUUCUGACCCUGCCUGCCUCCUGGCACCGGUCUUGGUUUACCUUCCAGCCUACCUCAGACUCUCACCUCCUGUGAAAUGGCAGUUUUUUCCUCCACUGAAGCUGCUUUUCAAUGUUAACAACAACAACAACAUCUGAGGAAAAACUACUAAGUUUUUCUUGCCAGAGGUUUGCCCCAAAAAAGAAAGAAAACAGAAGCUGAAAAUGAAAUCCUUAAGCAAUGAAACAGCACCAAGAAAAUUCCCCAAUUACUACAAGACUUCGCUCACUCAGACCUGCUGUGCUCCCAACAGACUACUA